rnacentral:rRNA from 1 species
GACGAAGGAUGCAAGCGUUAUCCGGAUUCAUUGGGUUUAAAGGGAGCGUAGGUGGCCUUAUAAGUCAGCGGUGAAAUCUCUGGGCUUAACCCAGAAAUUGCCAUUGAUACUGUAGGGCUUGAGUACAGUUGCUGUGGGCGGAAUAUGACAUGUAGUGGUGAAAUACGUAGAUAUCGGAAGGAACAUCAGUGGCGAAAGCGACUUCCUGGACCAGUACCGACGUUCAGGCACGAAAGCGUGGGGAGCAAACAGG